GACGGACGCUGGCGGCGUGCUUAACACAUGCAAGUCGAACGGAAAGGCCCUUCUUGGGGGGUGUGCUCGUGGGGCGAACGUGUGUAUAACACGUGAGUAACCUGCCCGUGACUGUGGUAUAACUUCAGGAAACUGGGUCUAAUACCGGAUAGGAGCUCCUUGUGCAUUGUGGGUUGUGAAGAUUUGCCGGUUGGGGGUGGAGUCGCGGGUUUUAUGCUUGUUGGUGGGGUGGAGGCUUACAACGGCUUUGUCGGGUGGCCGGCUGGAGAGGGUGACCGGCACAAUUGGGCCUGAGAUCCGGCCAAGACUCCUACGGGAGGAAGAAGUGGGGAAUAUUGAAAAAUGGGCGGAACCCUGAUGAAGAAACGCCGCGUGCGGGAUGACGGCCUUCGGGUUGUAACCCGCUUUGGCCUGUGACGAAGCGUGAGUGACGGUAAUGGGUAAAGAAGCACCGGCUAACUACGUG
rnacentral:rRNA from 1 species